rnacentral:rRNA from 1 species
CCUACGGGUGGCAGCAGUGAGGAAUAUUGGUCAAUGGACGCAAGUCUGAACCAGCCAAGUAGCGUGAAGGAUGACUGCUCUAUGGGUUGUAAACUGCUUUUGUAAGAGGGUAAACUCCGAUACGUGUGUCGGGUUGAAAGUAUCUUACGAAUAAGGAUCGGCUAACUCCGUGCCAGCAGCCGCGGUAAUACGGAGGAUCCGAGCGUUAUCCGGAUUUAUUGGGUUUAAAGGGUGCGUAGGCGGUUUGAUAAGUUAGUGGUGAAAGGUCGGGGCUCAACCGCGAAACUGCCAUUAAUACUGUUAGACUAGAGAACAGUUGAGGUAGGCGGAAUGUAUGGUGUAGCGGUGAAAUGCUUAGAGAUCAUACAGAACACCGAUUGCGAAGGCAGCUUACCAAACUAUAUCUGACGUUGAGGCACGAAAGCGUGGGUAGCAAACAGGAUUAGAUACCCUUGUAGUC